CGACUCCACGGACUCAACCUCUCUUAACCUCCUAUGAAUCUCGUGCAAUCCUCCGGGUUGUCCACGCCCUCGCGUUCGAAUCCACGAACGCCUCCACUUCGAAUCCACGAAGCUUCAAUCACGCCGAAUCCAUGACGCCACUCGAAUCCACGAGCCCACGAUCCGAAUCCACGAACCGCCUUUGUUCACUCCGAAUCCACGACGCCGUUCAUGAAGAACAUCAUGAUUAUGGUGAUCCUUCGCUUAGAGUAUCGUAGAUAAUCAAGGAAGAAAACUCCAAGUGAAGAUUAGAUCAAAUCGACAUAUAGCGAAUGCGAAACGAUACCUCGAUUUGAUCUAAAGAGGCUAAUUUGUAAAAAAUAGGUUUAGAACGAAAUACUAGCCUCUAGGGUUCUUUUUGUGUAUUCUUAUGAUCGAUCCUUGAUUAGAGAACCCCUAUAGCUUAUUUAUAGACUUUAGAAUCAAAACGGAGUAGAAUUAGAAAGUUUCUUUCCAUAUUCAGCACCUUGUACCGGUACAAGGGAAGCUGUCCAGGGUACAGCAUGACGGAAGAUUUUUCUGCGAAGCUUCUGUACCCUGAACAGACUGCAGCUUGUUCCGAAACAAGGCUUGUACCGGUACAGCCAUGAUGGUUGUACCGGAACAACCAUCGAAAAUCCCAGCGGCAAUAGCCGAUGUCUGUACCGGUACAGGAAAACUCUUGUACCGGUACAACAAUGCAAUUUUAGCUGAAAAUGCAUUGUUUCGAGUUUUACAAGCUCUUAGAAACUUUCUAAUCAAUUACAACUUGAAAAUAUGAUUCUAAGAUCUAUAAUUAAGUAUGAAUCACCAUAAACAAGAUUUAAAGCUUACCUAAAUAUCGUGAUUCAAGUUUUGCGUGUUUUGCGUCCUUUCCGAUUCUUCGAAGUCUUGAAUUCUUCGAUCUUCAAUAAUCCGCUCUGGACUACUUCAAGACUCUGACUCGACCCACAAAACUUGCCAACACAUAGGACCUAACAAUCUCCCCCUUUGGCAAUUUCGUGACAAAACACAUACAAACUCACAAAUUACAAUUUAAAGAAAAAACGAAGUUCAAUGUCAUCACCAAAACAUCGAACCCCUCGCAUGUAGUCCAAAUACAAAUUAAAACUCAAAAUACAUUCAAAACUCUUAAAACAGACUCUAUGACUUAGACGUAACUAGGAGUCUGGAAGUCUUGAAAUCCUGUUUUUCCUGCAAAACAUUCCACAAUAAUAUAAAGUUUUACAUUCAAUUGAUUUUUUUACCAUUCUCUUUCUCCCCCUUUGUUCAUCACUUCUCCCCCUUUGUUCGUGAACCUGUUCAUCUUGUGAUCUCCCCCUUUUUGUCAGAAAAUUGCCAAAAAGCAUAAAUGUAAGGAAGGAGGCUAGGAGCAUCUUCC
rnacentral:lncRNA from 1 species